AACGGCCGUACCAUGCUGAAUAUACCGGUUCUCGUUAGAUCACCGAAGUCAAGCAUCAUUGGGCGCGGUCGGUCAGUACUUGGGAGGGUGACCACCUGGGAACACUGCGUGCCGUU